AUGUUUGUUUUCUUGUUUGCAGAUGAAGAUGAUGAUAUCAAACCUAUUAAGACAACAAUCAAAACUACAUCAAAUGAAGAACCACCAAAACCAAUUAGUAAUCACUUGAACGGUACUGUAAAUAAUAUCCAAACAUCUAAGAAAGCAGUUGCCCCAGUGAUAGUUGAAGAACUUGAAGAUGAACCAAUCAUUGAAGGCAGUGCAGCGCGCUUAGAAUGUAGGAUAACUGGUGAACCGGAACCAACAAUAUUCUGGUUUAAAAAUGGGAAAGAAUUGAAAGAAAGUCGCAAAUAUCAGUUUGAUUUUGAAGAUGAUGAUUUGGUAAUAUUGGUAAUUACAAACGUCACUAAACAGGAUCUUGGAAAAUACACGUGCCGAGCUAAAAAUUCAGUGGGUCAAGUUGAGACAACAGCAUCAUUGAUUGUUGAAGCACCACCAAAGGUACUGAAAGGUCCGUCCAAUCUACAAGUCGUAGCUGGUCAGAAGGCAGAAAUGAAAUGCACUUACACUGGAACACCUGACCCCGUUGUCACAUGGAUGAAAAACAAAAAAGAAAUCAAACCCGAUAGUAGAAUUAGUAUAAAAACAACUGAAGAUGUGACAACAUUAACUUUUAAAACUGUUGAAGUAGAUGAUACUGGACGGUUUAUACUGAAAUUGGAAAAUGAAUUUGGAUGUGAGAAUUAUACUAUGGGACUGUCUGUUGAAGAUAAACCUGAUCCACCUGCUGGGAAACCAACAGCCUCAGCAACUCGCACAUCGGUGACUUUAAUGUGGUCUGGACCAUCAUAUGAUGGAGGCUGCAUCAUUACAAAUUAUUCAGUAGAAAAGUGCAAAGCUAAGGACAGAAUAAAACAUUGGAGUGAGGUUACAAAAACAAACAGUACAUCAUAUAUAGUAAAGAAUCUUAUCCCAGAGACAGAGUAUAUAUUCCGUAUCAGUGCUCAGAACAUGCAUGGUUGGAGCGAGCCUAGUCUGGAAUCUGAUCCAAUACUGACUACAGAUAAGCCUCCAGAACCAGAUAAAGUAGAUGGCACCUUGGGAGAGGAGUCGGAUGAUGAUGAAUUAGCAUUUAAACCGAGAAUAGUGAGUGUAGAUGAAAAUCGAAAAGUCAGAGAUUUUUAUGAAAUCAAGGAAGAAAUUGGAAAGGGUAAAUUUGGUACUGUAUACAAAUGUAUUGAAAAGGAUACCAAUAAAGUAUGGGCUGCUAAGUUCAUUAAAACAGACCCACAGAGAAGGAAGCUGUGAGAAAAGAAAUAGCAGUAAUGAAUGAGUUACAGCAUCCUAAGUUGUUACAGUGUGCCGAUGCAUUUGAGUCACCAACUGAGAUGGUCAUGAUUCUUGAGUAUGUUUCUGGUGGAGAGUUAUUUGAUCGAGUUAUUGAUGAUGAUUUUGAACUUACUGAGAAAGAAGUCAUCAUAUUUAUGCGACAAAUUUGUGAAGGUGUUCGCCAUAUGCAUGAUAAUGGAAUUCUACAUCUGGACUUGAAACCAGAAAACAUUCUCUGUGCAAGCAAACACAGCAAUAAAAUCAAACUCAUAGAUUUUGGAUUAGCGAGAAAGUACAACCCAAGUGAGAAUUUGAAAGAGAUGGUCGGUACUCCAGAAUUUGUCGCUCCGGAAGUCAUCAAUUUUGAAUCGUUAAACUUUGCGACUGAUAUGUGGAGCGUUGGCGUUAUUUGUUACGUUUUGUUGAGUGGCUUAUCUCCGUUUAUGGGAGAUAAUGACGCAGAGACUUUGACGAAUGUCACAAUAGCGGAAUGGGACUUUGAUGAUGAAUCAUUUGAUGAAAUAACUGAUGACGCCAAGGACUUUAUCGAAAAAUUACUCAUUAAACAAAAAAGUGACAGGAUGAGUGUACAAGCAUGUCAGGCACACAAAUGGCUACAAAGAGAUACAGACACAAUGAAAGCUGCCAAAAUUUCAACAGCUAAGCUAAAGAAAUGGAUGGCAAGAAGAAGGUGGCAGAAAACUGCCAAUGCUGUUCGUGCAAUUGGUCGAAUGGCUUCAUUAAAAAUGUUCACUAGUUUGGGUAAAUCUGCAUCGAAAGACAAACCAGCAACUCCAUUUUCUGCGAUGCUAAAAGCCAAACGGGAUGAAGAAGCUAAGAAACAAACCAAUACAAAUGGCGAAGAAGAAGUAGACAUUGAUUUAAAUGAUCCGGAAGUCUCAAAAGCUGCAUCUAAGAUACAAGAUGUUUUCCGGAGAACCAGAGUAUCAAAAGCUGAGGAGCAAAAAAACAUACAAACUAACAAAACGAUUCCAGAUCAACAAAUUAAUGAGGAAAUUGAUAUCGAUCUUGGGGACCCAGAGGUUGCUAAGGCUGCAAGUAAAAUACAAGGGGUAUUUCGGCGAACGCGUAAAGAUGAAAAGAAGGGCGUAGCACCAAAGCUGGUGAAAAAAAUCAUAGACUGUCCAGUAAUGGAGGGGGAUAUAGGGAGGUUUGAUUGUAAAAUUUCAGGUGACCCUGAACCAGAUGUUUUCUGGUACAAAGAGGGUGAAGAAAUCCAUGACAGUAAGAAGUUUGAGAUGGAGUUUGAUGAUGAUGGUACCUGUUCAUUAAUUAUUCGAGAUGUGGUCGAUGACGAUGACGGAGAGUACACCGUGAAGGCUGUUAACAGUGCUGGGGAGGUUGAAUGUUCAGCUGAGUUGAUGGUAGAAGGAGAGGAUGAUGAAAGUGACAUGUCAGAGGACGAAGGUGAAUAGAAUGCAGCUCAGCUGGUAGCCAGAUGGUCAUUGUGGCAUCCAGCAUUCUUAAUAGAUAUUCCAUAUGACACAGGAGUAACCAAAUUGGCUUUUGCAAUUGUUAGAGUCUGAAGUAUACAUUGUGUGUAUAAGUUUUUAAACAAAGUAAAAACUGUUUGAAAUAUUUGAUCAUGAUCUUUCUUACCCUAUUUGAUAACUGUAUCUGGCUUCUCUAUGUAGCAGUAGCCAAUCUGGUUAUAGUACAUCAGUAGCCAGGCAUUCUGACAUUCAGAAUGGAUAUCAAGUAGUUGCUAGGGGUUUUAGUUGCUAGGUAACUGCUUUUAGAGGUAUUACAUCUAUAAUCUUUCAGAGGUGGAAAGAAGAAUAAAGUAACCUGGCAAAUGAUUUAACAGAUUGGUGCUAAAUUUCACACAAACAUAAUUUUUAAAUGAACACAGUAGAAAACAGUAAAUUAUAUAAUAAGAACCUUUUCCUAACUUUCUUGCUUUAAUUCAAUUUCACCUCCGAGAGAACACUUCACCUUGCCAUACCCAUUCUCCAAAAUGGUUUAACCCAACAAUGGAAACAUGGUUGCUACUUUGGAAUGGAAUUGUCUCAUCUUAGGGGGGCAUGCUUAUAUUUGAUGGAGCCUGGAAGCUAGUCUCAGUAGAAUAUAUUAGAAUAGAAUAGAAUGUUGGCAUUAUAACAAAAAUGAUGAUGACAAUGAUAUUGUUUUAUACAAUUGUAUGUUAUUAAUACAAGUACAUACUUUAUAGAAAAAAACAAUAUUGGCUUUGGUAUGCAAAUCUCUUGAGCUCUGUAGGUUUUCAGAAGCUCCACCAUUUUUUUGCAUAGCACUUGUUUUGCAACAUCUCAGAUUGGCACACUAACGCACAAGUUUUCUAAAUUUGUUUUUUUUCAAAGAAAAAUGCAUAUUAUUCCUUUUGUAAGAGGAACACUAAUUUUAACAUAUGUGUUUUGUAUCACAUGCCCUGCCAAUACAUGAUUAAUGAAUAUGAAGAGCUUUGUUUUAGAUCUCUAACUUGCAUUGAAACACUUGCCUGCAAAAUGCGCUGCUGCAUGCUGAUAGUAUUAUUGCAUUAUUUUAAAGACUAGCUUUUAGAUUAGACAUUUUUAUUUUAUUUUAAUCUGUAAUUUUAUUUUUACAAAAAUAUAGUUAAGUUCUGGGUUUAUUUGACAUAUAUGUUGUCAUUUUAUUACUGUUUUGGUAAUAUUUUGCCAUAAUAGAGAAGUGGGUCAAUGGAAGAUUGUUUCUAUAGUAAUGGAAUGUACCAUUGAUAAACAAAAAUGAGGGGUUGACCUGUGCAUGAAGUAAAAUGAGCAUGAAUGGGUAAAACAUACAUUGCUCCCCUCCAUAAUAUGGUACAACCUAAUUCAAUGAUAAGAUACAUGAGCAAUUACAAACUGGGACAGAUAAAAUUGACUAAUUAUGACCCAUCUCCCCUCAUUCAGAAUAGAAUAAACUAAUUUUUUUCAUCAUCACCAGCAAAAUGCAUUCAGCUACUUUGGAAACCACUUUAUAUUUAUACUUGACUUGUACAGGAAAUAUAGUUAGAUAUUAUUUCAUUAUUUUUCAGUCAAAAAAUGUGACAAUUAAUAUUUUCUUGAGUUUUACCAAUAAAGAGAUACUUAACAUUUGAA